rnacentral:rRNA from 1 species
UACGUAGGGUCCGAGCGUUGUCCGGAUUUACUGGGCGUAAAGCGUGCGCAGGCGGUGAUGUAAGACAGGUGUGAAGUCCCCGGGCUUAACCUGGGAACUGCAUUUGUGACUGCAUCGCUGGAGUGCGGCAGAGGGGGAUGGAAUUCCGCGUGUAGCAGUGAAAUGCGUAGAUAUGCGGAGGAACACCGAUGGCGAAGGCAAUCCCCUGGGCCUGCACUGACGCUCAUGCACGAAAGCGUGGGGAGCAAACAGG